AAGCUUAAAAAUAAGAGAGGUGGAGCAA
rnacentral:sRNA from 1 species